UACGGGGGGAGCAAGCGUUGUUCGGAUUUACUGGGCGUAAAGGGCGCGUAGGCGGUCAGCACAAGUCAGUUGUGAAAUCUCCGGGCUUAACCCGGAAAGGUCAACUGAUACUGUGCGACUAGAGUGCGGAAGGGGCAACUGGAAUUCUCGGUGUAGCGGUGAAAUGCGUAGAUAUCUGAAGGAACAUCAGUGGCGAAAGCGACUUCCUGGACCAAUACUGACGCUCAUGUGCGAAAGCGUGGGGAGCAAACAGG
rnacentral:rRNA from 1 species